rnacentral:tRNA from 1 species
GAGGUCUUAGCUUAGUUAAAAUUUUUGAGUUGCAUCCAGGAGAUGUAUAUUAGAAUUAUGCAGGCUUUC